GACGAACGCUGGCGGCGUGCCUAACACAUGCAAGUUGAGCGACGAACCAGGGCUUGCCCUGGGGCAAAGCAGCGAACGGGUGAGUAACACGUGGGUAACCUACCCCGAUAACCGGGACAACCCGAGGAAACUCGGGCUAAUACCGGAUGUGCUCACUGGACUUCGGUUCAGUGCGUAAAGGAAGCUUCGGCCUCCGUAUCGGGAGGGGCCCGCGGCCCAUUAGUUUGUUGGUGAGGUAACGGCUCACCAAGACCGCGAUGGGUAGCUGGUCUGAGAGGACGGUCGGCCACACUGGGACUGAGACACGGCCCAGACUCCUACGGGAGGCAGCAGUGGGGAAUCUUGCGCAAUGCGCGAAAGCGUGACGCAGCAACGCCGCGUGGGGGAAGAAGGCCUUCGGGUUGUAAACCCCUUUCAGGAGGGACGAAGGUUCGGCGGUGAAUAGCCGUCCGGACUGACGGCACCUCCACAAGAAGCCCCGGCUAACUACGUG
rnacentral:rRNA from 1 species